rnacentral:rRNA from 1 species
AGAGUUUGAUCCUGGCUCAGGAUGAACCUGGCGGGCGUGCUUAACACAUGCAAGUCGAACGGUCUCUUCGGAGAUAGUGGCGGACGGGUGAGUAACGCGUGAGAAUCUGCCUUUAGGUUCGGGACAACAGUUGGAAACGACUGCUAAUACCGAAUGUGUCGCAAGAUGAAAGAUUUAUUGCCUAGAGAUGAGCUCGCGUCCGAUUAGCUAGUUGGAGUGGUAAAAGCACACCAAGGCGACGAUCGGUAGCUGGUCUGAGAGGAUGAUCAGCCACAUUGGGACUGAGACACGGCCCAAACUCCUACGGGAGGCAGCAGUGGGGAAUUUUCCGCAAUGGGCGAAAGCCUGACGGAGCAACGCCGCGUGAGGGAGGAAGGCUCUUGGGUUGUAAACCUCUUUUCUCAAGGAAGAUUUCAGACGGUACUUGAGGAAUCAGCAUCGGCUAACUCCGUGCCAGCAGCCGCGGUAAUACGGAGGAUGCAAGCGUUAUCCGGAAUAAUUGGGCGUAAAGCGUUCGUAGGUGGUUUUGUAAGUCUGCUGUUAAAGCGUGUAGCUCAACUACAUAUAGGCGGUGGAAACUACAAGACUUGAGUGCGUUCGGGGUAGAGGGAAUUCCUGGUGUAUCGGUGAAAUGCGUAGAGAUCAGGAAGAACACCGGUGGCGAAGGCGCUCUACUAGACCGCAACUGACACUGAGGACCGAAAGCUAGGGGAGCGAAUGGGAUUAGAUACCCCAGUAGUCCUAGCUGUAAACGAUGGAUACUAGGCGUUGUCUGUAUCGACCCGGACAGUGCCGUAGCUAACGCGUUAAGUAUCCCGCCUGGGGAGUACGCACGCAAGUGUGAAACUCAAAGGAAUUGACGGGGGCCCGCACAAGCGGUGGAGUAUGUGGUUUAAUUCGAUGCAACGCGAAGAACCUUACCAAGGCUUGACAUGUCCGGAAGUUCUGGGAAACUAGAAUGUGCCUUCGGGAACCGGAACACAGGUGGUGCAUGGCUGUCGUCAGCUCGUGUCGUGAGAUGUUGGGUUAAGUCCCGCAACGAGCGCAACCCUCGUCCUUAGUUGCCAGCACUUAGGGUGGGCACUUUAGGGAGACUGCCGGUGACAAACCGGAGGAAGGUGGGGAUGACGUCAAGUCAUCAUGCCCCUUACGUCUUGGGCUACACACGUACUACAAUGCUGUGGACAAAGAGCAGCCAACUAGCGAUAGUGCGCUAAUCUCAUAAACCAUGGCUCAGUUCAGAUUGCAGGCUGCAACUCGCCUGCAUGAAGUAGGAAUCGCUAGUAAUUGCAGGUCAGCAUACUGCAGUGAAUUCGUUCCCGGGCCUUGUACACACCGCCCGUCACACCAUGGAAGUUGGUCACGCCCGAAGUCGUUACCCUAACCGUUCGCGGAGGGGGAUGCCGAAGGUAGGACUGAUGACUGGGGUGAAGUCGUAACAAGGUAGCCGUACCGGAAGGUGUGGCUGGAUCACCUCCUUU